rnacentral:tRNA from 1 species
GCACCAGUAGCUCAACAGGAUAGAGCAGCCGCCUUCUAAUCGGCAGGUUUCUGGUUCGAAUCCAGACGGGUGCG